CGCUGGCGGCGUGCCUAAUACAUGCAAGUCGAAACGCACUCUCGUUUAGAUUGAAGGAGCUUGCUCCUGAUUGAUAAACAUUUGAGUGAGUGGCGGACGGGUGAGUAACACGUGGGUAACCUGCCCUAAAGUGGGGGAUAACAUUUGGAAACAGAUGCUAAUACCGCAUAAAACCUAACACCGCAUGGUGUAGGGUUGAAAGAUGGUUUCGGCUAUCACUUUAGGAUGGACCCGCGGUGCAUUAGUUAGUUGGUGAGGUAAAGGCUCACCAAGACCGUGAUGCAUAGCCGACCUGAGAGGGUAAUCGGCCACACUGGGACUGAGACACGGCCCAGACUCCUACGGGAGGCAGCAGUAGGGAAUCUUCCACAAUGGACGAAAGUCUGAUGGAGCAACGCCGCGUGAGUGAAGAAGGUUUUCGGAUCGUAAAACUCUGUUGUUGGAGAAGAAUGUAUCUGAUAGUAACUGAUCAGGUAGUGACGGUAUCCAACCAGAAAGCCACGGCUAACUACGUG
rnacentral:rRNA from 1 species